AAAAAAUCCCCAGCCCUGAACUCUUAUUCUUCCCUUCUGAUGGCUGGAAUGGCAGCAAGCAGAGGGACCUUAGAGGCCACAUGUUUAAAACAGAAGCUUUAUCAUAAACCUGGAUCCUUGAAUAUCUAUCUGCACAGAGCAAGGCUUCAUCAACAUUGGACCACACAUCUUGAACUAUUUUCUUUCUUGCCUGAAACAACUAACAUAUAGGACAAAAUAAGAAAGUUUCUCAAGACAUUGAACAUCAAUCAAAAAAGGACAGUGAUCUCUGAAAGAUGAAGAACAGAUGAGCCAAAUUCUGAUACCUUCUAAAAAAGCAACUUUAAAAACCCACAAAAAGGGCUUCGCUAGUGGUGCAGUGGUUGAGAGUCCGCCUGCCGAUGCAGUGGAUACGGGUUCGUGCCUCAGUCCGGGAAGAUCCCACAUGCCGCGGAGCGGCUGGGCCCAUGAGGCAUGGCCGCUGAGCCUGUGCGUCCGGAGCCUGUGCUCCGCAAGGGGAGAGGCCACAACAGUGAGAGGCCCACGUACCGCAAAAACAAACAAACAAAUAAAACCCACAAAAACACAACCUUUUGAUUUUCUAUGUUUAUAGAUGCCUUUAGCAAAAGCAUUGUUGUUCUUUUCCCCCCAUUGUUUAUGCCAGUUUUGUUUCGUGCUUUAUAUUGUUGCAGUUUUAGAGACUCAAUACUAAAUACUAGCCAUAGUAGGUAUCCCCUAUCUAUUGUCAGAUCAUAUGAAAUCAGUUUAUUUGCUAUUUAGUUCAUUUUUGCUGCUCUUAUUAUUGAACCUUGAUUUAUAGUCAUGAUUCAAGUAGUUUCCUUUUGUUGCUAUUUUAUUCACAAUUUUAAUAGCUACUGAAUUUUAUCAAAUAUCUUUUCUGUAUCUAUUGUUAUAAUAUGGUUAUCUCAUUUAUUGUAUUAUUAUAAUGGGUUACAUUGAUAGAUUAGCAUAUUGACCUUGCAUUCUUGGAAUAAAUCAUACUUAGUCAGAGUUAUUAUUGUCUUGAUUUUAAAAUGACCCCAAAGUUAACAAAAAGAGUUCAGCAAUGGUUCUAUAUUCAUAAGCAAAAUUGGUUGAUAGUAUAUUUUAUGAGAAUUAUCAAAAUUAGAUGUUAAGAUUAUCCUGGUUUCAUAAAGUAAUGUGGGAGGUCUGGAUUUUCCAUGCCCUGAAAUAUCAAAAUACAUUGGAAUAAUCUAUUCUGUAAAGGUCAAACUCGUCUUGACAAUGGUGCCCUUAACAAUGAUAGAACUCGAAUAAAUUUCUAGUUUUUUCUAAGAUCAUUAGUUUAUUCAAGUUUUACAAUUCCUGAGUAAACUCCAGUGAUAUCUAUUUUGCUAGGAAUAAUCUAUUUCCUUUAGGCCUUAAACCUGGAUAUCAUCGUUGCAUGCAGUAUUCUUCUGUAAUUUUUAAAUGGUUAUAGUCCCUUGCUCAUUCCAAAUCUUGUCUAUUUUUGCUCUCUCUCUCUCUUUCUCUCUCAGCUUAAUUAGGCUUGCAAAUGUUUCUGCUUUAUUGUUUUUUUCCAAAGAAACAAAUUUCUGGAUUUAUUUAUCUUUCUCUUUUUCUGUUUCAUUAUUUCAACCUUUACCUCUAUUAAUUCCCUUUUCUUAGUUAGUUUAUUUGGUUACUUUUUCUAACUUUAUAUGAUGAGUAUUUUGUUUCUUUAAUAGUUUUAUCUUUCUUCUUUAAAAAUUAAGACAUUUAGGGCUUCCCUGGUGGCACAGUGAUUGACAGUCUGCCUGCCGAUGCAGGGGACACGGGUUUGUGCCCCGGUCCAGGAAGAUCCCACAUGCCGCGGAGCGGCUGGGCCCGAGAGCCAUGGCCACUGAGCCUGCGCAUCCAGAGCCUGUGCUCUGCAAUGGGAGAGGCCACAACAGUGAGAGGCUCGCGUAUCUCAAAAAAAAAAAAAAAAAAUUAAGACAUUUAAAGCUCUAGAUUUUGGAGAGUUCUGCUGUGCUGGGUCAUUUUACUUUGCUGGUGAUUUCUUUUAAAUUUCUUCUCGAAUUCAAGUGUUUUCUAAAGACCUGUUUCUUAAUUUGCAAGUAAUUAAGAUUGUUUAAAAACCCUUUCAUUAUUUACUUCCAAUUUUAUUGGAUUAUAAUCAGAAAGUAUAGUCAGAAAUUUUUAAGGUUUUUUUUCAUGACCAAGUCCAAUUUUUAAACAUGUGCAUGAACAUUUAAAACCUUGUUUUGUAUCUAAAAGAAGUAAAAGUUCUAUAUACAGUUAUUAAAUCAAGUUUGAGUGCAAUCCAAUUCUACUAUAUCAUUUCUUUUUUAACAAAGUUUUUCUUUAAGGGAGA